GACGAACGCUGGCGGCGUGCUUAACACAUGCAAGUCGAACGGACAGGCCCUGAUCUUGUGGGGUGCUCGAGUGGCGAACGGGUGAGUAAAACGUGAGUAACAUGCCCUUGACAUUGGGAUAACUUCACGAAACUGGGGCUCAUACAGGAUAGGAGCUCCUGCUGCAUGGGGGGGGUUGGAAAGUUUCGGCGGUAUGGGCUGGUCUCGCGGCUUAUCAGCUUGUUGGUGGGGUAGGGGAGUACGAAGGCUAUGACGGGUAGGCGGCAUGAGAGCGGGAACGGCCACAAUGCUCCUGAGAGACGCCCCAGACGCCUACGGUCCGCAGCAGGCGGGAAUAUGGCACAAUGGGCGGAAGUCUGAGGCAGCAACGCCCCGUUCGUGAUGACGGCCUUCUGGUUGUAAACCGCUUUCGCCUUUGACGAAGCGUGAGUGACGGUAACGGGUAAAGAAGCACCGGCUAACUACGUG
rnacentral:rRNA from 1 species